rnacentral:tRNA from 1 species
GAGGCUGUAGCUCAGUGGCAGAGUGUGUGCUUAGCAUGCACAAGGUCCUAGGUUCAAUCCCAAGCACCUCU